UGACCAACGACGUCAACAUAAAAAAAUCCAUUCCCACGCAGCUCUGAAGGGCAUAUCUGAAAUUUGAAGUCAAUUCUGGAGCAUCGCAUUGAGCCCAUUGUGCUGCCCCUCACCUCAGCCUCGCCCGUCCUAUUAUCCUCAAACACUUCUAGCACCACAUACCGUUUCAGCUGCAAACACGUGCACAUCAACAGAAGCAACCUUGGAAAAGACAGAAGAAAACAAGAAAAACAGGGCUAUCCCCGUUUAUCCCCAUAAAUACAACCCAACCUCUCUCUUCUCCUAAGGCCAACAAGGACCCUCUCCAUUGGAACAAUGACCACCUCCCAACCCCCCCAAUCGUCAAUAAUAACGACAACAGCGACAAAUGGAGACAACACCUCGCACAUUCCCUCCCCAGCGCCGAUGCUCAGCCCUCCAGCCUCUUCCCACUCCAUUCCAGAUGAUGACGACGAUGCCCCCCUCUUCUGCCCCUCGUACAUCUCCCCAAUGGUCCAAAAACAG
rnacentral:sRNA from 1 species